rnacentral:rRNA from 1 species
UACGUAGGCAGCAAGCGUUGUUCGGAAUUACUGGGCGUAAAGGGUUCGUAGGUGGCCAAUUAAGUCAGACGUGAAAUCCCUCAGCUUAACUGGGGAACUGCGUCUGAGACUGGAUGGCUUGAGUGCAGGAGAGGAACGCGGAAUUCCAGGUGUAGCGGUGAAAUGCGUAGAUAUCUGGAGGAACACCGGUGGCGAAGGCGGCGUUCUGGACUGCAACUGACACUGAGGAACGAAAGCCAGGGAGCAAACGGG